rnacentral:rRNA from 1 species
UGGGGAAUAUUGCACAAUGGGGGAAACCCUGAUGCAGCGACGCCGCGUGAACGAAGAAGGUAUUCGUAUCGUAAAGUUCUGUCCUUUGGGAAGAUAAUGACAGUACCAUAGAAGAAAGCUCCGGCUAAAUACGUGCCAGCAGCCGCGGUAAUACGUAUGGAGCGAGCGUUGUCCGGAAUUAUUGGGCGUAAAGGGUACGCAGGCGGUUUAAUAAGUCGAAUGUUAAAGAUCGGGGCUCAACCCCGUAAAGCAUUGGAAACUGAUAAACUUGAGUAGUGGAGAGGAAAGUGGAAUUCCUAGUGUAGUGGUUAAAUGCGUAGAUAUUAGGUAGAAUACCAGUAGCGAAAGCGACUUUCUGGACACAAACAGACGCUGAGGUACGAAAGCGUGGGGAGCAAACAGG